AUGGGUCCUAGUCAAGUUUGUUACCGCUGAGUCAUAACAGGAACUCCUAUAACCACCAAAUUUUAAAGAAUCAUAUAGUUCUACAAGGCUCCCCCGCCACGCCCAGUUUUUCCCAUUUCAAAGGCAGCCACUUAAACUGUUUGAUUUAUGAUACACCUGAAGUUGUACCAUCCUUCAAAAGGGAAUUACAACAGAGAUGUUGUAACCUUUGCUUGGUGUUCCGGUUGUGCACUUUCUCUUGCCAGAACAGCUAAAUCGAACAAUUUAAAGGGGGAAUCUGAGAACAGCAGCCUUCAGAGAUGGGGCCUUGGAAACCCAACUGUUUAAUUAAAAUAGGUAGUCACGGUACACUUUGCUUUUGAUCAACAUGCCCCUCCUGUUCCAUUUGAAAUCCUGGCACCGGUGGCUCUGCCCUGCCUGGGAGGAGGUUCUGCUAUCAGGCGUAGAUCAGUACUGACAUCCAGUGGUCACAGAGAAUUGUCUGGCAGAGGCUCUCCAUCUCUCUCUUCCCAGAAUCCAGUGGGUGUUUACCCAGAGGAACAAGGACUGAUGGAGGCCGACAGCUACCAAUGGGUGCUAUUAACGUGGAGAACUGUGUGAUCUGCAGCCAAAGGCCAAGCAACCCCGGUGGCUUUCCUUUAAAGAAUUCUCCCUCCUCCAUUCUCUGCCAUGGAAUCUGGACAGAAUUGCCUCCCACCCUUCCUGCAACUCAACCACCUUCCUGGGCCAGUGGCUUACUCAAGGAUAGGCCCCUGAUUCAGCUUGAGCCAUCAAGGAAGAGCAAAUCCCAGCAUGUCUGUAAAAUCAAUAGUAAAAAAUAUCCUUUCUUGUUCUGAAGGUCUGAAACUGAGCCAUGCUGCUCUUUUAGGGAAAGCCUGAAGCCUGAUAGCUCUGGGGAUAUUCCUGUAAACCCCGAGGCAGGCGGAGUAGAGAGGUAAAGAAAUGACUUCAGGGACAUCAUUAGAGCCUGGAUCAAGCAUCACCUGAAAGCAGGAUUUCUCUAGACUUCUAAAUGAAGUUAACUAUUAAAUACUUUAUUGACUAAACCAGUUUAAA